rnacentral:rRNA from 1 species
GGCGUAGGUGGCGAACGUUAUCCGGAAUUAUUGGGCGUAAAGGGUGCGUAGGUGGCUUGAAAAGUUAUCAGUGGCAAAUCGAGGCUUAACCUCGCGGAAACUGGUAAUACUGUUUGGCUCGAGUGCAGGAGAGGUUAACGGAACUCUAUGUGGAGCGGUAAAAUGCACAGAUAUAUAGAAGAACACCAAUAACGGCGAAGGCAGUUAACUAUUCUGUUACUGACACUGAGGCACGAAAGCGUGGGGAGCAAAACGG